UGCCAGACUCCUACGGGAGGCAGCAGUGAGGAAUAUUGGUCAAUGGGCGCGAGCCUGAACCAGCCAAGUCGCGUGAGGGAAGACGGUCCUAUGGAUUGUAAACCUCUUUUGUCGGGGAGCAAAAGACGCCACGUGUGGCGUUCCGAGAGUACCCGAAGAAAAAGCAUCGGCUAACUCCGUGCCAGCAGCCGCGGUAAUACGUAGGUGGCAAGCGUUGUCCGGAUUUACUGGGUGUAAAGGGCGUGUAGCCGGGUUGACAAGUCAGAUGUGAAAUCCUGCGGCUUAACCGCAGAACUGCAUUUGAAACUGUUGAUCUUGAGUACUGGAGAGGCAGACGGAAUUCUUAGUGUAGCGGUGAAAUGCGUAGAUAUUAGGAGGAACACCAGUGGCGAAGGCGGUCUGCUGGACAGCAACUGACGGUGAGGCGCGAAAGCGUGGGGAGCAAACAGGAUUAGAUACCCGUGUA
rnacentral:rRNA from 1 species